GUGAGAUGAAAUCAGCAUUUGAACAUGCAAUUUCACGCUAAUUUCAUCUUAUGA
rnacentral:pre_miRNA from 1 species